rnacentral:rRNA from 1 species
UACAGAGGUCUCAAGCGUUGUUCGGAUUCAUUGGGCGUAAAGGGUGCGUAGGUGGCAGGGUAAGUCGGAUGUGAAAUCCCGGGGGCUCAACCUCGGAACUGCAUUCGAUACUGCGGGUCUCGAGUCCGGGAGAGGUGAGUGGAAUUCCUAGUGUAGAGGUGAAAUUCGUAGAUAUCAGGAAGAACACCAAUGGCGAAGGCAGCUCUCUGGGACGGUACUGACGCUGAGACGCGGAAAGCGU